ensembl:lncRNA
CAGAGGGGAGGGGAGAAAGGAUGAAAGUGAGAGAGGGAGCGAGGUGGGAAGAGAGUGGAAGACAGACAGAGAGAAACAGAGAGAGAAAGACAGCAGUGCAAAUGUACUUAGACUUGUGUAUUUCAGCAACUCUUCUCUUCCAACUUGUUAGGCAAUCAUAUGUACGGGGAAGGAUGGCCAGCCACUCAGGAGGGUGAUUUUUACUAAGAAGGAGAAGGAGGCCGUGUUGGCCAUUUCGGAGUGAAGCGCAUGAUUGUCAAAAUCAACCUACACUUCUUCUGAUGGGGAAUUGUCAAGGAGUUGGACAGCUUGGCAAUUGAAAUAACCUUCUGUUUAUCAAUCACAUUCUAUUACAGGAUAUCUGAAAUUAUUAUGAUUUCAAUGAAUGUCAUAUCAGAGAGCACACAAUGUGCACACAAAAUAACCUGAAGCUAGUGUUAGUUUCCCUAGCACUUGGUGGAAGCCAAUCUUCUCCAGUUGGAGCAGUUGGAUGGUCGACCACUGAAAGCACUGAUGCCCUACACUGUGGUGAAGCCCAAUACGCAAAGACCAUCGACUGUCCGAAACCCCCCAGGAGGUAUCCCAUCUACCAGAACCAAUGAGUUCAGAUCAGUCUGAUUCUCUGUGCUCUGAGUUGGAGGGGGACCAGCUAUAUGUAGGCUAUACCUUCCAAAAGUGUUGAAAGUACAUAACUCCCAUUUAUAACACUGCACUAAUCCAUCAAAAUGUCUCACAGUAAAGUGUAACCUGCGUGUUUGAUUGUUUACGUCUCUGUCUCCUACCCUGUUCCCUUUAACUCUGCUCCUGUUUUCCAGGACCUAGGGGUUCUGCCCAGCACCCAGACGUGGGUCCACCUGAUGUCUUCAAUUACCAACCUCCCUCCAACUUUUCAUGACAUCAUCUACAGCUACUGUUGUUGUCAUUAUCUGCUAAGAAACUUUUAUUUCUCUAUCAUACUGAGCACAUAAUAUGUGACAUACCCAGAUUAACUAAAAACAUUAGCACUGCAAACACUCAGAACAAAGAGAGCAGUCUACGUCUUCAAGUCCCCCAUCCGAGACUGGCUAGCUGUUGAGAACAAAUGACAGGCAGAACCUCCCAACCACACAGCAACCACCUCCGGAAUAUUCCACAUACCAUAAUUCAGUAUUUUAGUCUAUGAUUGUCAUGUGAGUGUAAAUUGUCUGUGAAAAUAAAUGAAUGACACAACUGUAC